CAGGCGGAAGGACGGACGGAUGGACGGACGGGUCCGAGUGCUGGCUAGAUGGACGGCGUCAUCUCUGCGGAGGAGACAGGCGGGGGCCAGGGGACCCUGAAAAUGAGACUAAGCUCCUUGGAGCCUCCACUUUAUGGGUCUGGACUUCUGCAUUCCACUCCUGCUCUGGAUACCGCCCUCAGGAAGACUUCCAGGAUUGACUGUACCCAGUCUCAGCACCCUCCUCCCAGGAGCCCUUCCAGUGGCAAGGGACUGGGGCCUGGGAACUUGCUAUACUCUGAACUGUUGCUUUCCAUACACUGCAUUUAACUUUGCUUAUACAGGGACCUGAGAUGCUGUCAAUUAGCUGAGAAUGCGGCAAACAUGGCCACUGUGACCACGAGAAGGAUUUCCUUUAAAGAUAGACUCCUCCCUCUUAAACAGGUCACAGUGUAGCUGGAGUCACAGUGCAGCUGGGGUCCCUAUUGUCACUUCUAUGUCCAGUAGCUCCAGGAGGCCUAUUUGAGGCAAAUCACUGGUGUAGGAAACACCCAUUUUCCUUCAGCCACUGUCCUUGUCCUCCCCACGUGAGUGAGGACAUCCCUGUGGCUUCUUGCAGACAAUCAGCUGCUGCCUCCUAGAGGGAUACCUCUUUCUUAGGAUGAGGUGGUGGCAACAUCAAACUUCCAAGCAAAGUUCAAUGCACAGAGGAAAUCCAUUUCUUUAUGACAAGGGAAGGAGGCACAUGUACUCACACACCGCUCGGAACUUAGAGGCUUCUGUAUAUCGACUCAGUCCCCAACUAUAUACACACAGGAAGAAUAAAGCUCAGUGAUGCGAGGCUGAA